CCAGCAUGCUCUUUUUUUUGAAAGAAGAACUAUAAGAACAGUUUCCUUUUAACACAAUAUCAAAUUUCUAGAUGUUCUAUACUAGAAUUCCAGUGGAAACUGAAAAUUGACAUGACUCCAUUGUAAACUAACCCUUAAGUUUAAAUAAAACAAACUUUAUAAGAAUAUAA